AUAGGAACUUAGACAACCUUUAAUAUAUAAACCUUGGGAUAAAACUCGUUAGAACCGUUCUUUGAAAAUAACAGAUGGCCGACGUCUUAAGUUGUCAUCAAACUCGUUGAAGAAAAAUAGAGUUAAAUAAAUGAACGUUAUUCAAGAAAACUAAUAAAUCUUUACCCACAAGUUAUGUUAAAUAAGAAAAUAAAAUUAUCAUCCGACUCACUGCGAAAAAGAAAGGAUUGGAGUUCAAUGUGGUAUCUGGAUUAUGGAUUGUCUCUUGUGUUCGGGCACUAACUAAUUUUCUGGAUUGUCUACAGGAUUCUUCUUACGGGAAAUUGAACUGCUUGUUCUUCGGAAAUAGGGUCUUGGAUGAUCUCGAAGAAGUAUCAGUAGUUCUCGGAAUAGGUUGUAGGAUGAUUCUCUUUUUAUUUUAAUAUCACAUACAUUGGAGUACACGCCAAAUUUCAACAAUGAGUAAAGUUAGAAAAAUUCAAAUUUAAAUCAAGGAUUUCUUCCUCAAAAUAACGUUAAAACCUCAAAAGAUGGAUGAAAAAUGUGCUUUAGGAGCUGAACUAUAAUAAUUGAUACUAUUGGAAGCAAACAAAACGGUUUAAGAUAAGAUUUUCAGCAACAAAAAAUCUCUCUGUCACAAUUUCUAGGUUAUGUUCUCUCGGUGAACUAAGAGAAUGUUAAAAUUAUCACAAUACUAAUUAUGCUUUAUUAUAUUAUACUGUUAUAAUUUCACUAUCUCCUAAAAAUUCUACUCGGAAGUAUUUGACAUCUGUUAAUCAAUAGUUAUGUUUAUAAGUCAAUACAACCUUAAAUAGAGUUAAAUAUCGAUGAAAAUGAGUAAUUUUUGGGAGUCGUUCUCUGCAACUUUUGUACAAACAGGGAAAAAUGGUAAUCGAAAACGAGUUCGAUUCAAAAAAGAACAGACGCAGCUACAUAAAGGCCGAAUCAAACAACUACAUCAAAAUACGUGCUUAUAAAAUUGCUUUGUAGUGAAUCAGAUACAAACAAAAUGCCAACAAACAAACAAAAGGAACACUUAUACAAGCACUAACAAAACCAAAAAAAUAAAUGAAUUCUCCCAAUCAACAUGGAUACACGCACACAGCGAUAAAGUGAAGGAACUAAAUAAAGAAUUUUAAUUACAUUUUAUUGUUAUUCCACAAAACAACAUAUACCCCGCUUUGAACUGGCAAUAAAAUUAAAAGAAAACACUUUUGUAUUCAAGAAUUCAGAAUCAAAUACAAUAUUCAUCGGAUAUAAUUUAUAAUGCGAAAACAGAAUUGAGACUUGACCGCAAAGAUCGAUCGCUAUUAUAAAUAUAUUAAUUCCCGCAUAACUAACAAGCUAACACUCAAAGUCGAAAUUAUGCCUCGGAAUGCAAAUGCUGUACAUAAAAUGGUGAAAGGUUAUUUCACGUUGAAAAUAAUUGUAAAUGACGCUCCUCCAGUGACAUUAAUUACGUAUGCGAGAAGUUUAGCUUUUGCCCACACAAUCCAAAACAGGAAUGAAGCAAAAAAAAAACAUAGAAAUAUUAGAUUAAAUGCACUGCAACUUUAACAGAAACGCGUAAAGUAGACGGGAUAGAACAUCGACGAAUUCAACAAACGAAAAAGUUUGAAACAAAUUUUGAUGUUUUGGGUGCCAUCUUGCAACCUUCUUCAGAAGCAAGUUCGAGGUUAACUACCAGGACACAGGUAGGCGAAGAAUAUGAUAAUUCCGUCGCAAAAGAAAACCAAAGAUGUUUUAUCCCUCAGCAAAGAGGACCUAAGGUUGCUCUCAGGUUUCCUGUCCGGCCAUACACCCCUAAAAUACCACCUCUUCAACAUUGGACAAGCUGAAGAGCAAAUUCUAUGAACAUAUUCUAUGUGAAUGUGUCGCCGCAGGGCGCCUAAGACACAACAUUUUCGCCUGAUACCUACUGACAUAAAGGAACAAGACCUUGGAGCAAUACUAAAACAUGUUAAUGUCAAUAGUUUUUUGUCACAAAAAAAAUAAUUUUUAAAUACAUACAACGAUAUUAGAAAGUCCUAUUUAUAAAAACCAAAUAAGACUCUUAUUCGAAGUUUCAAAUGAGGUGGGAUAUGUGAGUUUUCAAGACGUUGAUUAUAAAUGGCUCUAUCAACUGACAGCUAAUCUAUUCAAUAUAGUAGCGUCUUGUAAGUUUAGUGCAGAAACUGGGAAAUCAUUUGGGGUUCAUUGGUUGGGUGAAGCACCGUAUCCAAUUGAUGGAUCACAUGAGUUUCAACAAGAACCCAGGAGUGUUGCUAUGAAUAUUAUCCGUAAGUAGCUUGAUUAUAUGGUCAUUCUGCCGCCCAUUAGUCUUUAUCGCUAAGUCUAACCGAGGUGCUUGGUUCAUGUUUUGCAAUACACGUUGACAGUGAACUGUAGAUCAGUGCAAAUAGAAUAUCUGGAGCGACAAAUCAAAGUCCAACCUAGAACCGUUUGGAUAGUAAGGUCUGGAUCUAGCCUUAGCUGAGAAAACACUUCCUGCCCGAAUGUAUUGUGCCAAUAGUAAAGUUUAGCGGAAUUGGGCUUAUAUAGUUUGGGCAUAUGCUUACUGCAUGUUCGAAGCCCAGAACCCUAUUGAGAACCUCUAGGACUAAUUGGAUAGCCGAGUUAGGAGGUGCAACAAUCAUCCCAAAUCGGCGAAAGAACUUAUGAGUUUUCUCUAAGCCGAGUAGAAGAAAAUAUCAGAAGUCAUCAUACAAAUACUUGAGGAAAGCAUGCUAAGGAGGUUUGACUUUACAUAUAAGUAAAUCCAUUAAAACUAAUUUAUUUAGAAAAGCUCAGGAUUUCCUUCAUAAAAUCAUUAGGUACGUUUACAAUAAAAAUUACGAACAUAUAUUUAUUAGAACAUAGUUUGCAUGUUAUUAAAACAACCCAAAAAGUAUGUUUUUUACCUUUCUAAAAAAUAAAACAACUUGAAAAAGUAAACCCAUUCAUUAUAAAUCCAUUAAGCUUCAAUUGAUGGAACAGCAACCUUUUGGUAAUUUGAAAAUCGAUUUUACCUAUACACGAAUAUUACAGUCCUUAUUCACAAAGUAAUAAAACAUAAAAGAAAUUACGUUGCGCCCUUUUACCGAGGUAAUA